rnacentral:rRNA from 1 species
UACGUAGGGUGCAAGCGUUAUCCGGAAUUAUUGGGCGUAAAGAGCUCGUAGGCGGUUUGUCGCGUCUGCUGUGAAAACUGGAGGCUCAACCUCCAGCCUGCAGUGGGGUACGGGCAGACUAGAGUGCGGUAGGGGGAGAUUGGAAUUCCUGGUGUAGCGGUGGAAUGCGCAGAUAUCGGAAGGAACACCAGUGGCGAAAAGCGGCUUCCUGGUCCAGCACCGACGUUCAGGCACGAAAAGCGUGGGGGAGCAAAACAGG